rnacentral:lncRNA from 1 species
GAUGAGAGUGCAGAGGGUGGGACCCAUCACUCAGGGAAGAGAGAGCCCCAGGAACCUCAGGGCAGCAGGGAGAUUUCGGGCAGGAGGUGAAUCCUUUGUCCCAGCCCUGGAUACAGAUGUUUUCAAGUUGUCUCUCCCCUUUCCCUUGUACUCCAAGCUUCUGAUGCCCCGGGACAAGGGUGCCCAGGAGCAAGCUGGGGGAAGUCACAGUGCAGGGAGAACCUAAGAACACCAGAGUAGGGUUGCUGGCUGUUCCUCCUGUAACAGGUGGCUGUAGAUGGGGAGGGGGACCCAGGUCAAUGGCCCACCUUCUCCGCCCAUUCCUGGAUGGGGUCCUACCAUUUGCAGAGGUGUCCCUGUAGGCCUACCUACCUGCUGCCUUUGGAGGUCCCAGGCUUCCUUUCUUACCAUUCUGUAUGCUUCCACGGUGUGACCAUUCAAAUUAACAGUAUUAUUAUUAAGAUUAAUAAAGAUUUCUUUCUUC